CCCUACGGGGCGCAGCAGUGGGGAAUAUUGCACAAUGGGGGAAACCCUGAUGCAGCGACGCCGCGUGAGCGAAGAAGUAUUUCGGUAUGUAAAGCUCUAUCAGCAGGGAGGAAAAUGACGGUACCUGACUAAGAAGCCCCGGCUAAAUACGUGCCAGCAGCCGCGGUAAUACGUAUGGGGCAAGCGUUAUCCGGAUUUACUGGGUGUAAAGGGAGCGCAGGCGGCUUGGCAAGUCUGAUGUGAAAGGCUGGG
rnacentral:rRNA from 1 species